rnacentral:lncRNA from 1 species
UUCAGAUUUUAGACGAAUUUUACUAUUUUUAUUUAGGGUUUUUAUUAAUUUUAGUUGGCUAGGGUUUGUGUGGUGGCUUAGCAAAUAUAUUGCUUAGCCGUCUACAGUUUUUUAUUACGCUUUAUUUUAUGCAAUAUUGGAGACAGAGAGAAGUGCUAGGGUUUUGAAGAUUUUCUACUUGAAGGUGUUUUCAAUCCUUUUCUUAAGAAUAUUUUCUAUGAUUUCAAUUAUGAAUAUGCGGAACUAAUUUCUUUUGCUAGGGCGAAGCCUUGAGCCUUAGCAUGAAUAUGUGAUUUUUAUUUAAUUUCUUAUGAUUGAUUGCAUGCGGACUUUGAAUUGUUAAUCACCGGGAUAAAAACUAUCUAAUUGUCGUAAUGCCUGAUCACCAUUAGGAUCUUUAGAAAAGUAAUUUGAUGCAAUUUUGGUCGGAAGGUUCCCUGAAAUUGACGCUGGCUUCUUGUGAUUAAUAAUUGUAAUUUCUCUUAAGAUGAAUAUCACGUCUUAAGGAUUGCAUGGUUUUUCAAGAGAUUUUCAUAAAGCAUAAUGAGUCUUUCAUGUUUAGAUUUGAUCCGAACGUCCGGACGGGUUGCAUGUUAGAUAUACGUUCUAUGUUGGAGGUUCCAAGUAGAAUAUGAAUUAGGAAAAUCUAACCUUCAAAGUGGCAUGUGUAGAUCAUAAGUAAUUGGUAAAAAUUCAUAGGAUUGCUAGGUGAUGGUGGAACCCUAGUGCCUUCUUAAUUUGAUUUUCUCAUAACUGUUUUCUUUUCUCUAGCUUUA